UGUAUCAUUGUACCUAGCCCAGCCCAGC
rnacentral:sRNA from 1 species